UACAGAGGGUGCGAGCGUUAAUCGGAAUUACUGGGCGUAAAGCGUGCGUAGACGGUAGCGUAAGUCAGAUGUGAAAGCCCCGGGCUCAACCUGGGAAUUGCAUUUGAGACUGCUCUGCUCGGGUGCGGAAGAGGGAAGCGGAAUUUCCGGUGUAGCGGUGAAAUGCGUAGAGUAUCGGAAGGAACACCAGUGGCGAAAGCGGACUUCCGUGG
rnacentral:rRNA from 1 species